GGGAUUCACAGGAAGAGUGCUGAAUGCGCAGUGGUACAGACAAUAUGCCGGAUCAAAUCCAAAGUUCCUCAUCUACAGCUAUCCUCAGGGAGGAAAUAUCUGUAUCCACUAUUAAUUUCUAAGAGUCAACAUAGGGUCCCACAAUCCUUUGGGUGGAGCUUGGUGAGAAUGGGUACAGCAGUGGGAGGCCCUGUUUCCCCAAAUCUUAUUUUGUAUAUGAUCUCCAACAGUCAUAAUGGUUUUGUUUUACCUCACCAUUUUGGCACUUCUUACAGAGAGUGUUUCCGCAAAUGCAAUAACACCCCUUUCUACUGAAAAUCAUGCUUUUGAAGGAGGAAAAGUGACUCUUUCAUGCAGCUACAGUGGAAGUGGCAUACAGAGUUGGCAGUGGUACAGACAGUAUCCCAACACUGCACCUGAAUUUCUCUUGCAAGCUUUGGAAAGUUUGGGUCCACAGCAGAAGGACCGUUAUGUUGCUGAAGCUCAAAAGGACAAAAAACAUCUGAACCUGGAGAUCUCCAAAACUGAAGUGGCAGAUGCAGCAAUAUACUACUGUGCCCUGGUGCCCACAGUAACAGGAAACCCUUCAACACUGUACAAAAACCUGAGAGGAUGAAGAGUACAUGAAGAAAGAAAGAAAGAAAGAAAGAAAGACCUCAUAAAAGAACCAUUUUUGGGUUCUUACUGUUUGUUUACAUUGAGCGCGAAGCAGUGAGCGCUCGACACUAUAUAAGGAAAAGAAGGUGGAGAAGAAAUAGCACACAAAUCUCAUUGGCUAUCGUGUCUAUCGUCAGCGUGAUAUGUUUAAUGUAUGUCAGAAGUGAACCACACUUUCAAAAGAAAUUCUGUGUAAUAAUUCUAACAUUUUAAUCGGAAACAAAUAGUUUUCAUGGACAAGUGGUGUAAUAGAGGUAUUGUUUUUGUUUAGGAUUUGUUUAAAAAUGUAUUCACUAUAAUUGAAUAUGAAGAAUUCAUGACUUUGUAUAGUUUCCCUCUGCCAGCUAGGACUUUCAACUCUGUCAUCAAAGCUUUGUCUCCAAGUUAUGUGCACUUAUUUAAAACAUGCUAUUGCCAAAUAUGACCGAACUUUUAUUGGAUGGAGUUUGUCUUCUUGAUAAAAAAAAAAAUGUAACCGUAAACAUAUAAAACAGCUGUUACAUUACUCAGUUUACA